rnacentral:lncRNA from 1 species
GAUUUUGCAUUGGAAGAGUGAAAAUUGGUUUGGUAUUGCAACUUUGAAGCAGUUUAUAGAUUUAAUUCGGUGAUCUCAAAUGCUGUGGUAAAAAGUUAAACUGUCCAACCAAAUAAUUUUUGCAUGCUUGUAUGUUUGUUGUUACUUAGAUUUCAGUUUUGUUUGAGGACAAACAAAGAUUCAAGUUUGGGGGUUUGAUAAGUGUAUUUUCUACACUUAUU